rnacentral:lncRNA from 1 species
CAAAAGGAAGGUUGAGAUUGAUUUUGGGAGUUUUUGUCCUAACAUUUUAGGAAUUAGGGGCCAAAAAAGGUCCAAAUAAGCAUUUUCUUGGUUUUCGCACAAUAACUUUAGUUUAAGUAAAUAGAAAUCUAUGAAAUUUUGACACAAGGUUUAUGACCACAAAAGAAAGGUUGGGAUUGAUUUUGGGAGUUUUGGUUCCAACAGUUUUAGGAAUUAGGGGCCAAAAAAGGGCCCAAAUAAGCAUUAUUCUUGGUUUUCGCACAAUAACUUUAGUAUAAGUAAAUAGAAAUCAAUGAAAUUUAAACACAAGGUUUAUGACCACAAAAGGAAG